AUGGAGGGAUCUUUCUUGAAUUCAAACCCGGCGCCGCAGUUUACUACGGCGGCUACGACGCACCCGCCACCGCCGCUAAUGGAUGGAUCUUCCUUGAAUUCGAACCCGGCGCCGCACUUGAGUACGUCGGCUACGACGCACUCGCCGCCGCCGCUAACGGAGGGAUCUUCCUUGAAUACCAACCCGCCGCCGCACUUGAGUAUCUCGGCUACGACGCACAUGCCGCCGCCGCUAAUGGAGGGAUCUCUCUUGAAUACCAACCCGCCUUCACACUUCAGUACGUCCUCUGCAAGCAUCCUGCCAGCCGCCGCAGCUGGCAUGAUGGAGCUCAGCUGCAGAACGAUGCCGACCAGGACAAGGAGCAGCACGGUAUUUCGGGCCAGGGAAGCCAUCAAUACCGAAACGUGGAGCUUUGCUUUUGUACUAGGCAGGUGGCAAUGUAAUGGGGACUCGGAGGUUAACGUGUGUGUUGCGUAG
rnacentral:rRNA from 1 species